CCUACGGGAGGCAGCAGUGGGGAAUAUUGGGCAAUGGGCGCAAGCCUGACCCAGCAACGCCGCGUGAAGGAAGAAGGCUUUCGGGUUGUAAACUUCUUUUCUCAGGGACGAAGCUAGUGACGGCACCUGAGGAAUAAGCCACGGCUAACUACGUGCCAGCAGCCGCGGUAAUACGUAGGUGGCAAGCGUUAUCCGGAUUUACUGGGUGUAAAGGGCGUGUAGGCGGGGACGCAAGUCAGAUGUGAAAACCACGGGCUCAACCUGUGGCCUGCAUUUGAAACUGUGUUUCUUGAGUACUGGAGAGGCAGACGGAAUUCCUAGUGUAGCGGUGAAAUGCGGAGAUAUUAGGAGGAACACCAGUGGCGAAGGCGGUCUGCUGGACAGCAACUGACGCUGAGGCGCGAAAGCGUGGGGAGCAAACAGGAUUAGAUACCCCUGGAGUG
rnacentral:rRNA from 1 species